rnacentral:lncRNA from 1 species
UGAGGAUUCCUUGCACCACAACAGCUGUCUGCAGCCCACGGAGCCAACCAGUUGCCAGGGCUGGAGCAGCAGUACUUGGCAGCAUCUCAUAAGGCACAGGUCAGCCACCCCAGCAGUCAGGUUGGGACAGCUCAUUGCCCAAAGAAGCUGCAAACUGGCAGGUGGCUGGCAGAAUUUACAACUAAAUGGUACAGCUCUGGAAUGAGUCCAAAAUCCCUUUUCCACAACCGGCUCCAUAUCAGUGUGACUUCUGAUCCUGAGCAUCAAUUACCUCUGAGAAUGUUACCCCUGCUUUCCAAAAGGAAAUGAUAGCAUCAUUACAUUUCUUGACAGUAUGUACCUGGCUGGGGCAUCUGAGCACAUGUAACGCUUUAAAUGGACACACUUGAAAACAAAGCAUGUUUUAGAGCAUCUCUUGACAAAUCAUACAACGAGAGAGGGAAAGAGCUGAGCACUGAGCCCUCUGGGACCCCCACCUCCCAUAGCAAGUUACCCUUGGAUGGGUUUUGCUGUUUACUGGUUGGA